UACGUAGGGGGCUAGCGUUGUCCGGAAUCAUUGGGCGUAAAGCGCGUGUAGGCGGCCCGGUAAGUCCGCUGUGAAAGUCGGGGGCUCAACCCUCGGAUGCCGGUGGAUACUGUCGGGCUGGAGUGCGGAAGAGGCUAGUGGAAUUCCUGGUGUAGCGGUGAAAUGCGCAGAUAUCAGGAGGAACACCAAUUGCGAAGGCAGCUCGCUGGGACGUUACUGACGCUUAGACGCGAAAGCGUGGGGAGCAAACAGG
rnacentral:rRNA from 1 species